ensembl:lncRNA
ACAGGUGUGAGGUGAUAUCCCAUUGUGAUUUUGAUUUGCGUUUCCCUGGUGAGUAGUGAUGUAAAACAUCUUUUCACGUUUCUGUUGCCCAUCUGUAUGUCUUCUUUGGAAAAUGUCUGUUCAGAUCUUCUAUGCGUUUUUAAAUUGAAUUGUUUGGUAUCGGGUUGUAUGAGUUCUUUAUGUAUUUUGGAUAUUGGUCCCUUAUCAGAUAUAUAAUUUGCAAAUAUUUUCUCCCAUUCAGUAGAUUGCCUUUUCAUUCUGUUGAUGGUUUCCUUUGCUAUGUAGAAACAUUUUUGUUUGAUAUGGUCCCACUUGCUUAUUUUUACUUUUGUUGCUUUUUCUUUUGGUGUCAGAUUCAAAAAAUCAUUGCCAAGACUUUUGUUAAGGGGCUUACAACCUAUAUUUUCUUCUAGGAGUUUUAUGGUUUCAUGUCUUAUAUUCAAGUCUUUAAUCCAUUUGAAGUUAAUUUCUAUGUAUGAUGUAAGGUAGGGGUCCAGUUUCACUCUUUUGCAUGUGACUAUCCAGUUUUCCCAGCACUAUUUAUUGAAGAGACUGUCCUUUCCCCAUUAUGUAUUCAUAGCUCCUUUGUUGUAAAUUAAUUGACCACAUAUGUGUGGGUUUACUUCUAUGCUCUCUCUUCUGUUACAUUGGUCUGUGUGUCUGUUUUUAUGUCAAUACCACACAUUUAAUUACUAGAGCUUUGUAAUAUAGUUUGAAAUCAGGGAGUGUUAUGUCUCCAGUUUUGUCCUUAUUUCUCAAGAUUUGGCUAUUUGGGGUCUUUUGUCAUUCCAUAUAUUGAUAAAUUUUAGAAUUAUAUUAGUUCUGUGGGAAAUGUCAUGGGUAUUUUGAUGAGGACUACACUAAAUCUGUAAAUUGCUUUGGAUAGUAUGGACAUUUUAAUAAUAUUAAAUCUUCUGAUCCAUGAGUGUGGAAUAUUUUUCUAUUUAUUUGUGUCUUCUUCAACUUCUUUUAGUAAUGUCUUGUAGUUUUCAAUAUACAUGUCUUUCACCUCCUUGGUUAAAUUUACUUCUAGUUAUUUUAUUCUUUUUGAUGCAAUUGUAAAUGAGAUUAUUUUUUUAAAAAAUUCUCUUUCUUUAUAGUUUGUUGUUAGUAUAUAGAUAUGCAACAGGCUUUUGUAUAUUGAUUUUGUAUCCUGUACAUUUACUGUAUUUGUUUAUUAUUUCUAAUAGCUUUUUGGCAGGAUCUUUGGGGUUUUCUAUAUAUAAUAUCACACCAUCUGCAAAUAGUGACAGUUUUACUUCUUCCUUUCCGAUCUGGAUGACUUUUCUCUUUUUUUUUGCCUAAUUGCUGUGGCUAGGACUUCCAGUACUACAUCGAAUAAAAGUGGCAAGAGUGGACAUUCUUGUCUUGUUACUGAUCUUAGAGGAAAAGCUUCCAGCUUUUCAUGGUUGAGUAUGAUAUUGGUUGUGUGCUUGUCAUAUAUGGCCUUUAUUAUGUUGAGGUAGGUUCCCUCUGUACCCACUUUGCUGAGAGUUUUUAUCAUAAAUGAAUGUAUAAUUUUGUCAAAUGCUUUUUCUGAAUCUAUUGGGAUGAUCAUAUGAUUUUUAUCCUUCAUUUUGUUAACGUGUCAUAUCAUGUUGAUUGAUUUGCAAGUGUUGAAACGUCCUUGCAUCCUGGAAUAAAUCCCACUUGAUCAUGGCGUAUGAUCCUUUUAGUGUAUUAUUAAAUUCGGUUUGCUAAUAUUCUGUUGAGGGUUUUCACAUCUAUGUUCAUCAGGGAAUAUUGUCCUGUAGUUUUCUUUACUUGUGAUGUCCCUGUCUGGCUUGGUAUCAGGUAAUGCUGGCCUUGUAAAAUGAGUUUGGAGGCAUCCCCUCCUCUUCAAUUUUUGGGAAAAGUUUGAGAAGGAUCAGUAUUAAAUCUUCUUUGCGUGUUUCGUAGAAUUCACCUGUGAAGCCCUCUGGUCCUGGACUUUUGUUUGUUGGGAGGCUUUUUGAUUACUGAUUCAAUCUUCUUAUAAGUAAUUGGUUUGUUCAGAUUUUCUCAUUCAUCAUGAUUCAGUCUUGGCAGGUUAUGUAUUUCUAGGAAUUUAUCCAUUUAUUCUAGGUAAUGCAAUUUGUUAGUGGAUAGUUGUCCACAGUAGUCUCUUAUGAUCCUUUUUAUUUCUGUGGUGUGGAAGAUCCAGUUAAGCUGGUGACAUGGGAAGAUCCGAAACUCAUCUCCUCCCAGAGACACACUGAGUCUACAGCUACAUAUGGAAAUUUUUUCUCUUAAGAAAAAACCUAUAGUCUGGCUGAGUGAUUACUUCACAUCAGGCAAACAAGAAGAAAACCACAUCAAUGCAUAUAGGAGAGGCUGGAACAAAAUCUCGCCAUAAAUCUCACCUGUUGUAGCAUCCCACAACCAGGAGGGGAACUCAAAACCCGGAGUUUCUCCCUGAGGAGUGAGGGGUCUGAACCCCAUAUUGGGCAUCCAAACUUUUAAGACAUGCGCUUGAGAGAUGAUCCCCUAAAACAUCUAACUUUGAAAACCGAAAGGACUUGUGUCCUGAGACCCGCAAGACUCCAGUGAUCUGAGAAAUUGGUCUUAAAGUGUUCGCGUGCUCAGACUCGCCCACCCCAGGGCCCAACUCAGAGGCCAAUCAGGCCCAUAUUUAACGUGAAGGAGGCUUACCUGCUUACAUUAAGGCAUCGGCCUGAGGGGCAGGCAUCUCAUUCAACAUAAACAUCUAGGAUCCUGGUGGAACGCUCCCCGGUGAUAAAGACAGGCAGGCGCCGCCUUCGGGCCCUCCCUUUGUCAUGACCCAGAGCACCAGUAUGUCCUGGGAGGGAGCUUUGACAUGUGUCCGGUGCCCCUAUUUUUGUGGCUGCUCCCUAGGGACACCUCUCCAUCACCUGAAUCUGGAGCCCAGGGGAGCUUGCACGCCUGGUCCCAUGGGAAUGUAGUAAUUGGCGUCACCCCGACAGGAGUGCAUACCCCUGUCAGUGCUCCAACUUUUGUGCCUGAUGCUCGGGGUCACCUUUACAUUGCCUGGGUCUGGUAGCCAGUGAGGCUUAUGCUCCUGAGUCCCACAGAACUGCAACCAACAGAGAAAGAGUUCUUAAACAUCAACCACCCCCGGGGCACAGAAAGAGGUAAUAAACCCAGGAGCCCAGUGUUUUCUGUGAAGGAGUCCAGUGAGCUAAUCAUCACGACUGUGGCCUGGCAGGCAGGCUUCUAAUUCUAAUUAAACACAUAUCUUGGGGCUGACUGUAAUCCUCUCCAGAGACCCCAGAGGGAAGGCACUGUCUUCCCACUCCCCUUCUGCUGCAUUCCAGAGCACCAGUGUCUCCUGGAGGGGAGCUUUGUGUGUCUGGCGCCCUGAGUUUUGUGGCUGCCACCCAGUAGACACCCCCUGAUCACCUGGCUCUGGUGGCCAGAGGGGCUUGCAUUCCUGGGUCCCAAGGGACUAUGGCAACUGGGGAUACUGUUCUUGGCAGGCUACCACCCCCAGGGCACUGCACAGACAGCAAAAUGGGAUACACACCCCAAGUGUGUCUGUGGAGGAGGCCUCUUUGCUUGUCCUGGAGCUUUGGCCUGAGGGCUGCGUUAGUGACCUGCAGAUCUGCUGUCCAGGCACACUGGCUGUGGAUGCCUUCUAGGUGCUUUCCCUCCACCUUGCUCCAGCUCGCUGGUAUCACCCAGAAAGGUGCUUGUCUGGAGCCCCAAUCUCUGUAACUGCUGCCCAGGAGAUGCCCCGUGAUCACCUGGCUCUGUGGUCCCACAGGAAUGUAUAUAUUUGCAUACUUUUAAAAGCUGAUAAAUGAGGGUCUGGCUUCCAGUCAGCCUGAAUCUAGGUGCUGAGACACUUCCCUUUGGGACACUGACACAUCCUCAGCUACUGGGAGCCAUUAACCAUAUACAGGCCCUUGGACGUGCCCAAAGGUUUGAACUCAGCAAGGUUGAACAGCAAGGUUUAUCUCCUACAUGAGAUUGGGAGAGGUGGUUGUUUCAUCUGCUGUGUUGAAAACAACACAGAGAGUCAAGCAACAUUAAAAAAAUAAAAAAGAGGAAUAUGUUCCAAAUGAAAGAACAAGAUAAAACCUGAGGGGCAAAAGAAAACCACAACCUCCACCCUCCCCCCAAAACGUAAAACUUAAUGAAAUGGAGAUAAGUAAUUUACCUGAUAAAGAAUUAAAAGUAGUUGUCACAAAGAUGCACACUGAACUGGAACAAAGAAUGGAUAAACACAAAUGACAAAGGGAUGGAAAAUAUAAGAAAGUACCAAAUAGAAGUCACAGAGCUGAAGGAUAUAGUAAUUGAACUGAAAAAUACACUAGCGGGGGUUCAACAGCAGACUAGAUCAAACAGAAGAAAAGACCAGUGAACUCAAAGACAAGGCAGUGUAACUCAAUCAGAGCAGC